UUAAAUUUUAGGGUCAUGCUUCCUUCCUUCAUUCCAAUUGGCUCUCUCAACUCACGCGACAGACACACCAGAGAAUAUUAGUCCACGCCGUCCGCCUCUGCAUCAGCCGCCGCCCGGCACCACCACCGGUUACCCCGCCUCAGCUAUCACCACCACCGCCUCUGCCUAAAGCCUAAGUGACAAUGAGAUGAGAGCAAUGAAGUUCUGGGAUUGGUACUUGAAGAUAGCAGUUGGGUCAGCGAUGGUUGGUGGUUCAAUGGAGCUUUUCAUGAUUAAAACCGGUUUCUGUACGAUAAAGUAGCAGUUUUGGAGUCAGAGAAGAGGGCUUGGGAGAGUUCACCUGAAGCUCAGGCCAUGAGAGAAGCUCUCAAUCCUUGGGGGGAUCAAGAGAAGAAAGGAAAGAAAAGUUCCUAGUUGCGUUUUAGAAUGGACUCCGUCUGGUCUGGUUUGCAUAUCCAAUCCGCACUCAGUCAGAGUUACCUUUCCACUAAUAUCGAGGUUUCAAUUCUUGCAUCUCUUCUCGCGUUUAAUUACAAUUCUGAAAAAUCAUUUUUGCACCUACUAUGCACCUAUCGACUUACAUUGCGUCUACAGAAAAUGGGCAGUUUGGAAGAUCAGAAUAUCUUGUUUGCUGAUUGCUGUUGAUGAAACUUUGAUCCCUGCCUUUGUUGCAGUUUUUAUUGUUGAAUCCAAUUGAUUGGUUUGAGUUAUUGCUGGUACAAGUUUUUUGUGUGUUUUGGAAAUAAUGUGUAGUUUGUUGGCAUUUCCAUUCUGUCAAUGUAGUGCAGUUUGGAGCAUAAAAUCUUAAUCAAACAUCAAUUUAACGCUUA